rnacentral:rRNA from 1 species
CCUACGGGAGGCAGCAGUGAGGAAUUUUCCGCAAUGGGCGAAAGCCUGACGGAGCAAUACCGCGUGAGGGAUGAAGGAUUUUGGUCUGUAAACCUCUUUUCUCAAGAAAGAAGUUCUGACGGUACUUGAGGAAUAAGCAUCGGCUAACUCCGUGCCAGCAGCCGCGGUAAUACGGGGGAUGCAAGCGUUAUCCGGAAUGAUUGGGCGUAAAGCGCCUGUAGGUUGUUUAUUAAGUCCGUUGUUAAAGCCUAGGGCUUAACCCUAGAAAAGCAAUGGAAACUAGUAGACUAGAGUAUGGCAGGGGUAGAGGGAAUUUCUAGUGUAGCGGUGAAAUGCGUAGAUAUUAGAAAGAACACCGGUGGCGAAAGCGCUCUACUGGACCAUUACUGACACUCAGAGGCGAAAGCUAGGGUAGCAAAAGGGAUUAGAUACCCCUGUAGUCCUAGCCGUAAACGAUGGAUACUAGAUGUUGUGCAUUAUGUACAGUAUCGUAGCUAACGCGUUAAGUAUCCCGCCUGGGGAGUACGCUCGCAAGGGUGAAACGUUAAAUGAAUUGACGGNNGAGCGUGCGAGACGACGACGAGGGAGGUAGG